UGGUGAAAGUUUGCAGCUCAACUGUAAAAUUGCCAUUGAAACUGCGGGUCUUGAGUGUAAAUAAGGUAGGCGGAAUGUGUUGUGUAGCGGUGAAAUGCUUAGAUAUAACACAGAACACCAAUUGCGAAGGCAGCUUACUGGGAUACAACUGACGCUGAGGCACGAAAGCGUGGGGAUCAAACAGGAUUAGAUACCCUGGUAGUCCACGCAGUAAACGAUGAAUACUAGCUGUAUGCGAUAUACUGUAUGUGGCAAAGCGAAAGCGUUAAGUAUUCCACCUGGGGAGUACGUUCGCAAGAAUGAAACUCAAAGGAAUUGACGGGGGCCCGCACAAGCGGAGGAACAUGUGGUUUAAUUCGAUGAUACGCGAGGAACCUUACCCGGGCUUGAAAUGCAGACGACCGAUCGGGAAACCGAUUUUCCAGCAAUGGCGUCUGUGUAGGUGCUGCAUGGUUGUCGUCAGCUCGUGCCGUGAGGUGUCGGCUUAAGUGCCAUAACGAGCGCAACCCCUAU
rnacentral:rRNA from 1 species